rnacentral:rRNA from 1 species
UUCCGGUUGAUCCUGCCGGACCCCACUGCUAUCGGGAUAGGACUAAGACAUGCUAGUCGAGCGCUUCCUAGCCAAUUUGGGAGCGCGGCGCACAGCUCAGUAACACGUGGCUAACCUGCCCUUGGGACGAGGACACCCCCGGGAAACUGGGGCUAAUCCUCGAUAGGUGAAGAACUCUGGGAUGAGUCUCCACCUAAAAGACGCUUACGCUAUGCUUGUAGGCGCCGCCCAAGGAUGGGGCCGCGACCGAUCAGGUUGUUGGUGAGGCAACGGCUCACCAAGCCUUUUACCGGUGCGGGCCGUGGGAGCGGGAGCCCGGAGAUGGGCACUGAGACAAGGGCCCAGGCCCUACGGGGCGCAGCAGUCGCGAAAACUUUGCAAUACACGGAAGUGUGACAGGGCUAUCCCGAGUGCCAUCCGCUGAGGAAGGCUUUUACCCAGUUUAGAACGCUGGGGGAAUAAGGAGAGGGCAAGACUGGUGUCAGCCGCCGCGGUAAUACCAGCUCUCCGAGUGGUGUGGAUGUUUAUUGGGCCUAAAGCAUCCGUAGCUGGCCAAGUUAGUCCCCUGUUAAAUCCACCGAUUUAAUCGUUGGUGUGCGGGGGAUACUGCUCGGCUAGGGGACGGGAGAGGCAGACGGUAUUUCCGGGGUAGGGGUGAAAUCCUAUAAUCCCGGGAAGACCACCAGUGGCGAAGGCUGUCUGCUAGAACGCGCCCGGCGGUGAGGGAUGAAAGCUGGGGGAGCGAACCGGAUUAGAUACCCGGGUAGUCCCAGCUGUAAACGAUGCAGGCUAGGUGUUUGGACGGCCACGUGCCGUUCUAGUGCCGCAGGGAAGCCGUUAAGCCUGCCGCCUGGGGAGUACGGUCGCAAGGCUGAAACUUAAAGGAAUUGGCGGGGGAGCACCACAAGGGUGAAGCUUGCGGUUUAAUUGGAUUCAACGCCGGAA